UGGGGAAUAUUGGGCAAUGGGCGCAAGCCUGACCCAGCCACGCCGCGUGAGUGAUGAAGGCCUUCGGGUCGUAAAGCUCUGUGGGGAGGGACGAAAAAACGCUGGCCAAUAUCCAGCGGACUGACGGUACCUCCUUAGCAAGCACCGGCUAACUCCGUGCCAGCAGCCGCGGUAAUACGGAGGGUGCAAACGUUGCUCGGAAUCAUUGGGCGUAAAGCGCACGUAGGCGGCUUCGCAAGUCGGGUGUGAAAGCCCUCGGCUUAACCGAGGAAGUGCAUUCGAAACUACGAGGCUUGAGUACUGAAGAGGGUCGCGGAAUUCCCGGUGUAGAGGUGAAAUUCGUAGAUAUCGGGAGGAACACCAGUGGCGAAGGCGGCGACCUGGGCAGAUACUGACGCUGAGGUGCGAAAGCGUGGGGAGCAAACAGGAUUAGAUACCCGCGUAGUCC
rnacentral:rRNA from 1 species